rnacentral:rRNA from 1 species
UGCUGCAUGGCUGUCGUCAGCCCGUGUCGUGAGAUGUUGGUUAAGUCCGCAACGAGCGCAACCCUUGUCAUUAGUUGCUACAUUCAGUUGGGCACUCUAAUGAGACUGCCGGUGACAAGCCGGAGGAAGGUGGGGAUGACGUCAAGUCCUCAUGGCCCUUAUAGGUGGGGCUACACACGUCAUACAAUGGCUGGUACAAAGGGUUGCCAACCCGCGAGGGGGAGCCAAUCCCAUAAAGCCAGUCGUAGUCCGGAUCGUAGUCUGCAACUCGACUACGUGAAGUCGGAAUCGCUAGUAAUCGUGGAUCAGAAUGUCACGGUGAAUACGUUCCCGGGUCUU